rnacentral:rRNA from 1 species
AUGAUGUUUGAAAUUUUCUUUAGUCCUUCUGGGAGGUCCCCUGCAUAUACUGGUUGUGCAGGUUGUGCAGACAUUGUAACAUUGACCUUCUUAACCCACGGAAGUGCUGCAACGACCUCAUUUGCCUUUUCUUCGAACUGUACAGCACAAAUUCAGAGUUUUAGGCAAAGCCAUUCCUUGGAAGGAUAA